GGCGCGGGCAACGAUACCAUCAGCGCCGGGGCCGGCAGUGAUAGUAUUAAAGGCAAUACGGGCGCGGAUUCCAUUGAUGCCGGCGAUGGCGACAAUCAGGUCAAUGCCGGGGAAUACUUCACCCAUUACCAGUACGACACGGUCACGGCCGGAAGCGGCGAUGACAUCAUCUACGGCAAUGUCGUAAAUGCAGGAGACGGCGCCAAUACGAUUUACGGCACUUCCGGGGCCGACAGCAUCACGGCAGGCUCGGGCGUCGAUACCAUCCAGGCGGGCAACGGCAAUGACACGAUCAGCGCCGGGGGCGGCAAUGACAGUUUCAGCGGCGGCCACGGGCUGGAUUCCAUAGAUGGCGGGGAUGGCGACGAUGUCAUCAAUACUGCCGAUUCUGAGAGCAACUACCGCUACGAUACCCUUAUGGGCGGGGCGGGCAAUGACACCCUCUAUGGCGGGC
rnacentral:misc_RNA from 1 species